UACGGGGGGGGUAAGCGUUGUUCGGAAUUACUGGGCGUAAAGGGCUCGUAGGCGGCCAACUAAGUCAGACGUGAAAUCCCUCAGCUUAACUGGGGAACUGCGUCUGAUACUGGAUGGCUUGGAUUCGGGAGAGGAAUGCGGAAUUCCAGGUGUAGCGGUGAAAUGCGUAGAUAUCUGGAGGAACACCGGUGGCGAAGGCGGCUCACUGGCCCGGUACUGACGCUGAGGUGCGAAAGCGUGGGGAGCAAACAGG
rnacentral:rRNA from 1 species